AACGAACGCUGGCGGCGCGCUUAACACAUGCAAGUCGAACGAGAAGGCGUAGCAAUACGCUUGUACAGUGGCGAACGGGUGAGGAAUACAUGGGUAACCUACCCUCGAGUGGGGGAUAACCCGCCGAAAGGCGGGCUAAUACCGCGUACGCUUCCGAUCUUGCGGGAUUGGAAGGAAAGCUGUCCCUUGGGGAUGGCGCUCAAGGACGGGCUCAUGUCCUAUCAGCUUGUUGGUAGGGAACGGCCUACCAAGGCAUCGACGGGUAGCUGGUCUGAGAGGACGAUCAGCCACACUGGCACUGCGACACGGGCCAGACUCCUACGGGAGGCAGCAGUGAGGAAUAUUGCGC
rnacentral:rRNA from 1 species